ensembl:lincRNA Ino80dos INO80 complex subunit D, opposite strand
GGACUUAGGGAGCUCGGCUGCUACUGCUCCCUCCCUGGGCUUCGGCAAGAGUCUUUCCCUGUCUAACACGAGGGAACACACGGAGAAUUUUAAUGUACACAUGCAAGAACAAAAGCCUGUGAAGCUGGAACGCAACUGUAGCAUUAAACAGCGGUGCCUCAAAACGUGGAUUUGUACCAACUAGAAGAACAACAUCUGCUUCUUCCACACCAGCAAUUGUGGUAUUGAGAAGAUAAUUGGAACGAAAACGAUAGCUGAGAACAGUUGUAACACUCAUCUUCAAUCCAAGUACUUAGGAGGUAAAGACAGAAAGUUCUUCUGCUACACAGAGUUCAAGGCCAGCCUGGGCUACAAGAAACUCAAAAAUCAAAAUGAAAUCCCAAACAGCAGCCUGGAGCACAGCUUACUGCUUCUCACCCAGCUCCUUCAGUGGGGAAGAUCUCUUCAGUGCAUAAGUUGUCAGAGUCAACUUUAUUAAGCAAGUCUUUCAGAGCUACUAAGGCUUCAGCAUCCACCAAGCCUCCUGCAAUCGCUGCCACAGCAUUGCCUUCAAAAUUCUGUAACUGGAAACAGAAAAGGGCAUCUCUAAGAAACCUACAGUCAGCAAAGACCAUGACUGUUCAGGAAAUAAACCAAGUCAUUUUCAAGCAUCCAGAGUAGCAGGAGGCACAGCCGUCUCUCCUGAAUUAGUGUAGCUACCACUGCACAUUAAAGAAGCUUUUUACAGCAAAUGCAGAGGAAAACCACACUGGAAACAAUGCAGAAAUCAACAAAUUGUGGGGACCCCAGCCACAACAGACACAUCUACACCAUGGCUCUUGCAGCUAUUGCUCAAGGAACCAGAAAAUAAAGAGUCUAAGAGCCAGCGUACCAGAAGUCUGCUGUAAAGCAGUGUCUCCUAGAAAGGCUGCAUAAACAAGAUCCGAAUACCAAUACCAACAGGAAUUUUAACAUGGAAGGGAGAAAAUUCCACAGGUCUCACCUCUAGACAAAGAACUGCAAGCAACUGACUGCUGGGAGAAAAAGAAUUAGCUUCUCUCAGGAAUGAACCCCCAUAUAGGUUGUCCAGUACAGAGCAGUCAGUCAGCCUUGAAAUCAUAUAUACACAAACAAUAAAAAUGUAGAGUCUAUUUGUGCAUGUACAUAAAUNNNNNNNNNNNNNNNNNNNNNNNNNNAAAGACAUUGUUGUCAAAAAAUAUUAGCUAGCAAAUAAAAAACAUUUAACCUUUUCUUUUUCUGGUGAAUUAAAUUAACUAACAUUUGAUUAUUGAAAUAACUUCCGAGUUCUCAAAAUACUCAUACAGUCAAGGAAUUUAAUGUAUUUUGGGUCUGAAUGCAAUGAACCACUUAUAUUUCUUUCUAAUAAACUGAUUCCUAGC